CAACUCGAAGGGCAUCCGGUCACUGACACCAUCAGACAGACUCUACCAAGCCCGAGAGUGGUCAUGCUGAUUGCCGGGCUGGAGAACAGGGAUUCUCAAGGGAAACCAGCAAACGUCUGAAGAUGUGUAACCAGAUAUUCUCCGGGAGCUCCCAGGUCUCUCCACCCCUACCCACCCCCCAGCGUCUGACUUCUCAGUUUCGGUGAACCAACAAGUCCCAGGCCAUUAUCCUCCAGGGUGGGAUGCAGGCUCACCAGCACCCACUUCUGCUGCCGAUGUGCCCACCCCCACCCCCUGCAUCCCUGCCAUCCCCAGGAAGCCAGCAAUACAGCCCCUGAGUCCCGGGAACAAAGACAAAAGAGCUAACAGUAAAGCCGGAACUGCUGGGGUUUGCUGCCUCGAAAUAAGAGGGAUACAAGAAGUGGAGUGGGGACCUCCCUCCUGCAUCUGUUGAGGGCUGAAGACCCCCACCUGCUUCAUGGAUCUAGGAAGCAGGAGAAGUGGAGUUCAAGUUCAGCAAGACAAACGAAGAGUGGAAAAAAUAUUAAAACGGCGAGGAAGAAAACACACCACACGCUUUGUUAAAACAGUCAAAAUCCAAAAGGUUCGAUGAGGCCUUUGGAAAAGUUCGCCCUGCUGAGGAAGAUGUUUAGUUUGAGCUCAGCUCAGAAAUUGCAGAAAACCUCCUGGGUGGACUCCGGGGUGCCAGAGGUUAUGGGGGAGGACUGGUCUCAGGACUGGGGGACGGUGUCCCACAGGGAGAGGACUUCACUCUCUUUUUUCUUUUAUUAUUACUAAGAGAAGCAGGAGGGAAGGGUUAAUUUCAAGGCAGACUGGGAGAAGAAAGGAACAGAGGGGUUCCACUUAGAGGGAGCCCUACCUUACUCAGUACUCAAGGUCAAAAUGUGCCAGAGAAAUAGAAGAAAGAUUUCAAACUCUGACCCCUAAUUCCAUUCUCAAGGAGAAGAGGGGGAAAAACAAUAGCAAGCCAGAGGAAGGAGGCCGCGGUGUGCGUGGAGGGAGGGGGCCUUAGAAAGACGCUGAGAAGCAAGAAGGAAUGUUCGCACUUUUUCUCCCCCAGCCCCCACUUUUUUUCAGUUUGAAAAACUUGGUCAGACUCGCUUGCUUUUUAAACAGCAGCGGAGAGUGGACACAUAUCACCACGAUCUCCAAAAGGAAAGAAAGAAUUACAGCUUC